GACGAACGCUGGCGGCGUGCUUAACACAUGCAAGUCGAGCGAUGAAACUACUUCGGUAGUGAAUUAGCGGCGAACGGGUGAGGAACACGUGAGGAAUCUGCCUUCAACACUGGGAUAACUCCGGGAAACCGGGGCUAAUACCGGAUACGAGCCUUGAUCGCAUGAUCGAGGCUGGAAAGUUUUUCGGUUGAAGAUGACCUCGCGGCCUAUCAGCUUGUUGGUGAGGUAAUGGCUCACCAAGGCGACGACGGGUAGCCGGCCUGAGAGGGCGACCGGCCACACUGGGACUGAGACACGGCCCAGACUCCUACGGGAGGCAGCAGUGGGGAAUAUUGGGCAAUGGAGGGAACUCUGACCCAGCGACGCCGCGUGCGGGAUGAAGGCCUUCGGGUUGUAAACCGCUUUCAGUAGGGAAGAAGCGAAAGUGACGGUACCUACAGAAGAAGCACCGGCUAACUAUGUGCCAGCAGCCGCGGUAAUACAUAGGGUGCAAGCGUUGUCCGGAAUUAUUGGGCGUAAAGAGCUCGUAGGUGGUUUGAUACGUCGGGUGUGAAAUUCAGGGGCUCAACCCCUGACCUGCAUUCGAUACGGUCAAGCUAGAGUUUGGUAGGGGAGACUGGAAUUCCUGGUGUAGCGGUGGAAUGCGCAGAUAUCAGGAGGAACACCGAUGGCGAAGGCAGGUCUCUGGGCCAAUACUGACACUGAGGAGCGAAAGCGUGGGGAGCGAACAGGAUUAGAUACCCUGGUAGUCCACGCCGUAAACGGUGGGCGCUAGUUGUGCGAACCUUCCACGGUUUGUGCGACGCAGCUAACGCAUUAAGCGCCCCGCCUGGGGAGUACAAUCGCAGAAUUA
rnacentral:rRNA from 1 species